AUACGUAGGUGCCAAGCGUUAUCCGGAUUUACUGGGCGUAAAGGGCGUGUAGGCGGUCUUGCAAGUCAGAAGUGAAAUUCCUGAGCUCAACUCGGGCGCUGCUUCUGAAACUGCAGGACUUGAGUGCUGGAGGGGAUAGCGGAAUUCCUAGUGGAGCGGUAAAAUGCGCAGAUAUUAGGAAGAACACCGGUGGCGAAGGCGGCUAACUGGACAGUAACUGACGCUGAGGCGCGAAAGCGUGGGGAGCAAACAGGAUUAGAUACCCGGGUAGUCCACGCCGUAAACGAUGAAUACUAGGUGUAGGGGGUAUCGACUCCCUCUGUGCCGCAGUUAACACAAUAAGUAUUCCGCCUGGGGAGUACGGCCGCAAGGUUGAAACUCAAAGGAAUUGACGGGG
rnacentral:rRNA from 1 species